rnacentral:lncRNA from 1 species
GGGGUCUUGAGAAAUAAAAAGUUUCAGUUUCAAGUAAACAUGUCAAAUAAUUAACUUGUUUUUAUCUUCUUUUCUUGGUUUUUCUUUAUAAUAACUUUGUUCAUCAAAGUUGGAUUAAUUUUACUUUCUGCAGAAUAGUUAUACUUGUCCAAUCGGACAAGCUUGAUAUAGCUUUUACUUGUCUGCCCUUUUUUUCUCUGGUACCGGACAAUCUGACAAGCGUUAUUGUUGAGCCUUGCUAUAAUAACUAUAUUUAUGUGCUAUGAAAUUACUUUUAAACACGCAUGCUCUAUGAAAUGACUUUCAACCAUAAUGAAAAAACUCUGCCAGGUCAAAACUGCUGAUCCAAAAGCCCAGAUAAAAUAGUAGGGAAGACAUGAGAAGUAAAUAUUGUAAAAACUCAAGUGACCUAUGAAUUGAUGCACAAAUGUCCAUUUAAACCAGAUGCUUCGCAGGGCGCAGCUUUAUACGACCCUGAAUGGUUGGGGCUAGUAUGGACACAAUAUUCAAACUGGAUACAGCUCUGAAUUUGGAUUGUGAUUAAAUAGUUGACACAGCAUAGGUUUCUGACACAGAAUGAAUGUGGUCUAAUGAACUUAAAAAUUUUUUUUUGCUUUUGAGCAAUUCACUAUGCUGUUGAAUAUAAAUCCUCUCCAAAAAAAAAUAUUUGAAGAAAUUUUCUUUUUA